CGAACGCUGGCGGCGUGCUUAACACAUGCAAGUCGAACGGUGAAGGGAUCAGCUUGCUGGUUCUGGAUGAGUGGCGAACGGGUGAGUAACACGUGAGUAACCUGCCCCCUUCUUCUGGAUAACCGCAUGAAAGUGUGGCUAAUACGGGAUAUUCUGCGCCUGCUGCAUGGUGGGUGUGGGAAAGAUAUUGUUUCGGUGGGGGAUGGGCUCGCGGCCUAUCAGCUUGUUGGUGGGGUGAUGGCCUACCAAGGCGGUGACGGGUAGCCGGCCUGAGAGGGUGGACGGUCACACUGGGACUGAGACACGGCCCAGACUCCUACGGGAGGCAGCAGUGGGGAAUAUUGCACAAUGGGCGCAAGCCUGAUGCAGCGACGCCGCGUGAGGGAUGGAGGCCUUCGGGUUGUGAACCUCUUUCGCCAGUGAAGCAGGCCUGUCCCGUGUGGGUGGGUUGACGGUAGCUGGAUAAGAAGCGCCGGCUAACUACGUG
rnacentral:rRNA from 1 species